rnacentral:rRNA from 2 species
CGAACGGGAAGACAUGAAGAGCUUGCUCUUUAUGAAAUCCAGUGGCAAACGGGUGAGUAACGCGUGAGCAACCUGCCUAUGACAGUGGGAUAGCCUCGGGAAACCGGGAUUAAUACCGCAUAAAAUCGUAGAAACACAUGUUUCAACGGUCAAAGAUUUAUCGGUCAUAGAUGGGCUCGCGUCUGAUUAGCUAGUUGGUGAGAUAACAGCCCACCAAGGCGACGAUCAGUAGCCGGUCUGAGAGGAUGAACGGCCACAUUGGAACUGAGACACGGUCCAAACUCCUACGGGAGGCAGCAGUGGGGAAUAUUGCACAAUGGGGGAAACCCUGAUGCAGCGACGCCGCGUGAACGAAGAAGGUAUUCGUAUCGUAAAGUUCUGUCCUAUGGGAAGAUAAUGACAGUACCAUAGAAGAAAGCUCCGGCUAAAUACGUGCCAGCAGCCGCGGUAAUACGUAUGGAGCGAGCGUUGUCCGGAAUUAUUGGGCGUAAAGGGUACGCAGGCGGUUUAAUAAGUCGAAUGUUAAAGAUCGGGGCUCAACCCCGUAAAGCAUUGGAAACUGAUAAACUUGAGUAGUGGAGAGGAAAGUGGAAUUCCUAGUGUAGUGGUGAAAUACGUAGAUAUUAGGAGGAAUACCAGUAGCGAAGGCGACUUUCUGGACACAAACUGACGCUGAGGUACGAAAGCGUGGGGAGCAAACAGGAUUAGAUAGCCUGGUAGUCCACGCCGU